rnacentral:rRNA from 1 species
CAGCCGCCGCGGGAAUACGUAGGUGGCAAGCGUUGUCCGGAAUUAUUGGGCGUAAAGGGCUCGCAGGCGGUUUCUCAAGUCUGAUGUGAAAGCCCCCGGCUCAACCGGGGAGGGUCAUUGGAAACUGGGAAACUUGAGUGCAGAAGAGGAGAGUGGAAUUCCACGUGUAGCGGUGAAAUGCGUAGAGAUGUGGAGGAACACCAGUGGCGAAGGCGACUCUCUGGUCUGUAACCGACGCUGAGGAGCGAAAGCGUGGGGAGCGAACAGGAUUAGAGACCCCCGUAGUCCCUGUCUCUUAUAC